rnacentral:rRNA from 1 species
UACGUAGGGUCCAAGCGUUAUCCGGAAUCACUGGGCGUAAAGCGUGCGUAGGCGGACGUUAAGUGUGAUGUUAAAUCGUGUGGCUCAACCAUAAUCGAUGCAUCGCAUACUGGAUGUCUGGAGAAAGGCAGAGGCAAGUGGAAUUGGCAGUGUAGCGGUAAAAUGCGUAGAUAUUGCCAGGAACACCAAUGGCGAAGGCAGCUGCUGGGCCUUU